GACGAACGCUGGCGGCGUGCUUAACACAUGCAAGUCGAACGGAAAGGCUCUGCUUUUGCCGGUUGCUCGGGUGGCGAACGGGUGUGUAACACGUGAGUAACCUGCCCUUGACUUUAGGUUCAUUUCAGGUUGCUGGGGCUACUACCGGACGGGAGUUCCUGCUGCUAGGUGGGUGUUGGCACGUUUCGGCGGUUGGGGAUGGACUCGCGUCUUAUCAGCUUUCUUGUGGGGUAGUGGCUUACCAAGGCUUUGACGGGUAGCCGGCCUGGGAGGGUGACCGGCCACAUUGGGACUGAGAUACGGCCCAGACUCCUACGGGAGGCAGCAGUGGAGUAUAUUGCACAAUGGGCUGAAGCCUGAUGCAGCAACGCCGCGUGCGGGAUAACGGCCUUCGGGUUGUAAACCGCUUUCGCCUGAGACGAAGCGUGAGUGACGGUAAUGGGUAAAGAAGCACCGGCUAACUACGUG
rnacentral:rRNA from 1 species